rnacentral:rRNA from 1 species
UGCCAGCAGCCGCGGUAAGACGAACCGUCCAAACGUUAUUCGGAAUCACUGGGCUUAAAGAGUGCGUAGGCGGCUUGGCAAGUUGGGUGUGAAAUCCCUCGGCUCAACCGAGGAAUUGCGCUCAAAACUGCCAAGCUUGAGGGAGAUAGAGGUGAGCGGAACUAAUGGUGGAGCGGUGAAAUGCGUUGAUAUCAUUAGGAACACCGGUGGCGAAAGCGGCUCACUGGGUCUCUUCUGACGCUGAGGCACGAAAGCUAGGGGAGCGAACGGGAUUAGAUA